UAGAACAAUGUAGGUUAGGGAAGUUGGCAAAACGGAUCCGUAACUUUGGGAGAAGGAUUGACUCUGAGGGUUGAGCCUAGGGGUUUUCAUCCUCAACAUGUGGGUUGUUGACAGUCUUCCCGAGCUGCUAUCGCUAUGAGGGUGGACAAUUACAUGUUGAUUGGGCUACAAAUGUAGAAUGUCCCCUCACGUGUGCUUUUCCCUAGGUGGCGAACAAUCGACUCAGAACUGGUAUAGACAAGGAUGAAACCCUAUUUUUAUUCUA
rfam:Picea glauca, whole genome shotgun sequence.